GAUAUUUAUAAAUUAUAAUGUGAUAAAGCUACUAUUAGUCAAAAAAAGAAGCCAUUAUACAAAGGGUGGAAAUAUGACUAAAAUUCUUAAUUUUGUAUAUGUCAUGAGUAUCAUUCUUUCCAUAUUUAUUGUUUCAAUGAACGUGAAUGGUAAACCAUUUUUUUUUUCUUUUCAAAUUCCCUUCUUUAUUUCUUACACAAUAUAUUAUCCCAGUUUAAUUACAUUCUUCUAUUUUCUUUUUUCAUUACAACAGGUCUUGAAUGUAGAAAUGAUUAUGAAUGUCUAAACAAACGUUGUACAGUUCCUUUUGAACCGAGGUGUAUAUUUUACAGAUGUAAAUGUAUUCAAAAUAAUUUUGAUUUCUUUUGAAUAAAAAUACUUACCCACUAUGUACC
rnacentral:lncRNA from 1 species